rnacentral:rRNA from 1 species
AGCGAACGCUGGCGGCAGGCCUAACACAUGCAAGUCGAACGAAGUCUUCGGACUUAGUGGCGGACGGGUGAGUAACACGCGGGAACGUGCCUUUAGGUUCGGAAUAACUCAGGGAAACUUGUGCUAAUACCGAAUGUGCCCUUCGGGGGAAAGAUUUAUCGCCUUUAGAGCGGCCCGCGUCUGAUUAGCUAGUUGGUGAGGUAAAGGCUCACCAAGGCGACGAUCAGUAGCUGGUCUGUGAGGAUGAUCAGGCACAUUGGGACUGAGACACGGCCCAAACUCCUACGGGAGGCAGCAGUGGGGAAUCUUGCGCAAUGGGCGAAAGCCUGACGCAGCCAUGCCGCGUGGAUGAUGAAGGUCUUAGGAUUGUAAAAUCCUUUCACCGGUGAAGAUAAUGACUGUAGCCGAAGAAGAAGCCCCGGCUAACUUCGUGCCAGCCGCCGCGGUAACAC